rnacentral:rRNA from 1 species
AGGUGUGAUCAUACCAGCAAUGAUGCAUUGAAUCCCAUCCGAACUCCGUAGAUAAGCGUGCUUGGGAAAGAUAAGCGUGCUUGGGCGAGAGUAAUACUAGGAUGGGUGACCUCUUGGGAAGUCCUCGUGUUGCACCAU